rnacentral:tRNA from 1 species
GGGCGGAUGUCGGAACUGGUAGACGAGAUAGACUUAGGAUCUAUUGGGGUUUCCCCCCGUGAGGGUUCGAGUCCCUCUUCGCCCA